rnacentral:RNase_P_RNA from 1 species
AGCGGGUGACAGACAGUCGCUGGCGCACGGUGACUUUGAUUUCGCCUUAGAUUUAUCCAGAGUUCGCUUUGGGCAAAUGUGAGGAAAUGCGAGGGCGCCUGGCGUUAGAGGAAAGUCCGAACACCACCAAGCAACACGCCGUGUAGAAUACGCGGGGAGUCUUGCCGAAAGGCUUGGUUCACGGAAAGUGUCACAGAAAAUAGACCGCCCUGCCGCCGGGACUUUCGGAAACGUAAGUCCCAACGAAAGGGUAAGGGUGAAAAGGCGGGGUAAGAGCCCACCGCCCGUCAGGCAACUGGCGGGGCACGAAAAACCCCGUGUGGUGCAAGACAAAACAGGGAACGCGCGGCGCUUGGCCCGUUUGGCAGAAGCUGGGACAAUCUCGCGAGAGCGUUGGUUGCAUCGGCUGCGCCAAACCGUUUCCGGGUAUUAGUCGCACUCCGCUUCGGCGGAGCGUCCCAUCUCGAUGGGAUGAGAGAAAUGACUGUCACGGAAGGCUUUUCGGAGUCUCCCGACAGAAUUCGGCUUACCGUCACCCGCUGCAG